rnacentral:rRNA from 1 species
UACGUAGGGGGCAAGCGUUGUCCGGAUUUAUUGGGCGUAAAGCGCUCGCAGGUGGUUCGUCGCGUCGUGCGUGAAAGACCCCGGCUCAACUGGGGGGCGUCGUGCGAAACGGGCGGACUGGAGGCCAGUAGGGGGAUGCGGAAUUCCGGGUGUAGUGGUGGAAUGCGUAGAGAUCCGGAGGAACACCAGCGGCGAAGGCGGCAUCCUGGACUGGUCCUGACACUCAUGAGCGAAAGCGUGGGGAGCGAUCAGG